ensembl:misc_RNA
CUGGCAGCCCUAAAGGCUGAAGUUCAGUCCUCUGUAUAGUCACAGCACAAGCAGAGCAUAAACAUUGAUAAUUCACACUUUCUUCCUUGCGCAGCUAGUGUGCAUCAAUCCUGCUCUGGAGGGACCACUUCUAGCAGUGAGAAGGUAGUUCAGUUUCUCUGAUCCAUUACUUUAAUGGCCUCU